rnacentral:misc_RNA from 1 species
AUUUAGAUCUAUGCCUGGAGCUGGAACAUUUUGGUGUUUUAACAUUGUCUUUAACAGAACUUUGGUGCUGUGAUGAUGUGACAAUUUCACCUAAUUUUAUCCUGUCUAUCUGGUAAUACCUUAAUCUUAUAAAUUACUCAAUCAAGAAUGAAUAUGAAGAUAAUUAUGCACACACGCUGGACUUUCCCCUCUCUGUAAUUAACCAUUUACUAUGAUGUCUUGGAUUGUUUUUAGUGACUGAAGCAGAACUGGAGAGAU